rnacentral:rRNA from 1 species
UACGGGGGGAUGCGAGCGUUGUCCGGAUUUACUGGGCGUAAAGAGCGCGCAGGCGGUCGAUCAAGUCGAGUGUGAAAGCCCCCGGCUCAACUGGGGAGGGUCAUUCGAUACUGAUCGACUCGAAGGCAGGAGAGGGUAGUGGAAUUCCCGGUGUAGUGGUGAAAUGCGUAGAUAUCGGGAGGAACACCAGUGGCGAAGGCGACUACCUGGCCUGUUCUUGACGCUGAGGCGCGAAAGCUAGGGGAGCAAACGGG